ACUUGGAUAAGAGACCAUCUGGAAGUCCCAGUUGCAGUAGGCACAAGCCAAGACAUCGUGGCUGAAUACUAGACCACAGAAAGUGAAUGAGUUAGAAGACUACAUUUUACCCCUCAUCACUGCAGAAACCUCGUGUGGAAGAUUCAAGAAAAGCUCCUGCUUCUUUCUGGGAAGAGAACUGGGGUGUGUGGAGCACUGAUUAAAAACAGGAAGGAUGGAGGGAAGCACAUUCUUUGCUCCUGUAACUUAAUUACAAACUCACAAACUUAACCAUAUUGCCAUGUUCUAGUAUCAUCCACAACCUGGCAGAUGCCACUGACUGAAAACACAGAUCUACUUUAAAAUAGUUGUUGAAAAGAAGAAAUUCUCAGUGUUCCUAUCAGCAUCCAUGCUACAUAAUUUCUUUCUUGUCCCAUGUGUAGACAAACAGGAAUUAUGGAAAAUGUAAGGCUAUGUCAAGGUUGCAGAAAGAGCUAUGAAGCUGUAAAGCUGAUUGGUUGACUAAUUCAAGGGGUGAAGUAUGAAUUAAUCCUAUAUGAAAAAAUAGAGGUUCAUACUGUAAAACAGCAAGUAUUUUAAUAUUAAAGAACAAAAAUAUGAGAAAAACUGGAGGGCAGUCAGUCUUUUCAAUCCAUUUUUUUUUUUAGAUUUGUCUAGGCAGAGCUUCUUAGAGAGAAACUCUUCAAGAUCCACCUUUUUAAUGGGAUCAAAUAAGCUUAUUUACAAAUUUGAUAAUGGAUUCUAAAAGAACUGUCAGUAAUGAAAACUGUGUCUUGGUGAGGAAAUAUUCUCACCCGAGGACUGAUGAAACCUGUUUGCUUUAAGUCACAGUUUAUUGCAGUAAUUUAUAAAUAAGCAAUUGUGAAAUUAUUAUCUAAUUUUCCUGGAACCUAACAUACAGGUUUCCAUAUAAAAUUUUCAUUGACGUGUUGUUUUUAAAGGGUCAAACCACUGACGAUCAAUAAUAUUAAAACUGGAAUAGAUCAGUCUUCUUCUUCCACCACCUCCCCCCACUCUUAUAAAACUUUAAUCUCUCUCACAGCAAUGUAGGUGCUAGAUGGUUUUAUAAGAAAAGCUGUUAAAUUACAUUUCCAUUCCAAUAGCUCAUUAAAACCUGCCCAAUAAUUAAAUAUUACCUUCCAACUAUCUUUUGGUUCUGUUUUGAUGGCCCACCAAUGGCUUGCCAGAGGCCCUGAGACACUAUAGCCCUUCCAGAAAUUCACUUUCUCUUGAAAUAUGCUGUAGUUUCAUUUGUUCUCUUCUAUCCUUACUGGGCUGGUUGAUACUCGAUCCCAGAAAUGAACAGGAUAGGCUGCAGUGAGUGUUUUAAAAUCAGGGAUGUGAGUCAAGGCGCAAUCAGAGGUGUUUUUUAAAAGCCAUGAAUUCGGUAACUUCACUGGAAGUGGGACAUGAAUUUCUCAUUGAAAGAAAAUGUUUGUGUUUCAACUUAAGUGCUCUUGUAGUCUCAAACCAGAAAGUAUGUGAAUGCUACUGGUAACACAGAGAAACUGAGAUGACACAGCACAGUCUCUGUAGAAGUCAUUCUAGAAUUCCUUUCUGUAUUGCUAUAAGUUGUUUAAAACAAGCAUUUUUUGUCCUUUGCUCUGUCAAAAUAUUGGGAAGCCAUAAGGAAUAACUAGUUUCAAUUUUGCUCCUUGAUAGCUAGAUGAGAACAGGAGGAAAUCUUGCGUCUGAUGACAGGCAAUAUCUGUCCUGUAGAGAAGACUGGGUAGCUAUGAAUCAUCUCAAAAUUAACAUAUUAUGUAUCCCCUUGAAUAUCCAUCAAAGUUUGUUCAUAAACUCCAGCUUUGUCAACAUGUUUGGAUGAUGGUUUUUAAUCAACAGAAGAAGCUCUGAAUUCUCUUCUUUAUUUUUCUCUAACUUUCCACUUGCUUUUGGAUAAAAGCCUGACCCAAGCCUUCACUGCUUUUUUUUUUCUUCUAUUUUUUUUAAUGACUGUCUGUACUAUUCUCUGAAAGCAGCAAACGUAUUUUUGCACUUCACACAGAAGAUGGCAUUCCAAAAUGUGAUUAUCCUAAAUUCCCAAACUUUCUACAAUUUUAUAAUCCCUUUCAGUUCUUAACGUUCUUAAUUCCAAGAUAUCAAGUCAAAGGCUCAUUAACUGUCUAACAUGCUGUGAACCUUUUAACGUAAUUAGAAACUAAAGCAUCUGGAAUAGCUAUGUGAUCCACAAAGUGGUGCAUGAGUUGAGUCAAUAAAAUAAUGAAUA